AAACGACUCUCGGCAACGGAUAUCUAGGCUCUCGCAUCGAUGAAGAACGUAGCGAAAUGCGAUACUUGGUGUGAAUUGCAGAAUCCCGUGAACCAUCGAGUUUUUGAACGCAAGUUGCGCCCGAAGCCAUUAGGCUGAGGGCACGUCUGCCUGGGCGUCACGCAUCUCGUCGCCACCCCCCUCGCGCCUCUAUGGGUCGCGUGCGAGGGGUGGCGGAUGUUGGCCUCCCGUGCCCACGAGGCGCGGCCGGCCCAAAUGCGAGUCCUCGGAGCGGGACGUCACGACGAGUGGUGGUUGAACUCUCAACACGAGUGCUGUCGCGACGACGCCCCCCGACGGACUGCCACGACCCUCAGAGCCCCUCGAAUUGCGGGGCCUCCGAACGCGACCCCAGGUCAGUCGGGACUACCCGCUGAGUUUAAGCAUAUCAAUAAGCGGAGGAAAAGAAACUAACAAGGAUUCCCCUAGUAACGGCGAGCGAACCGGGAACAGCCCA
rnacentral:rRNA from 1 species